rnacentral:rRNA from 1 species
UGAGGAACAUGACCUUCGGCGGGGGAUAGCCGGCCCAACGGCCGGGUAAUACCGCGUACGACCACAUGGGGACAUCCCUGAGUGGUGAAAGCAGCAAUGCGCCGAUGGAGUGCCUCGCGGCCUAUCAGCUAGUUGGUGAGGUAACGGCUCACCAAGGCAACGACGGGUAGCUAGUCUGAGAGGAUGGCCAGCCACAGUUGGGACUGAGACACGGCCCAGACCUCGUAACCGGGGAGG